GACGAACGCUGGCGGCGGGCCUAAUACAUGCAAGUAGAACGCAGAUGCGAACGGGUGAGUAAGGCGUAGGUAACCGGACUAACAGCGGGGGAGAACUAUAGGAAACGAGAGCAAAGAACGCAAAUUGUGAGAUGGACCUGCGUUGUAUUAGCUAGUUGGUGAGGUAAAGGCUCACCAAGGCGACGAUACAUAGCCGACCAGAGAGGGUGAUCGGCCACACUUGGACUGAGACCCGGCCCCGACUCCUACGGGAGGCAGCAGUAGGGAAUCUUCGGCAAUUGACGGAACUCUGACCAAGCAACGCCGCGUGAGUGAAGACGGUUUUCGGAUCGUAAAGCUCUGUUGUUCGGGAAGCGGUAACUAACCAGAAAGGGACGGCUAACUACGUGCCAGCCGCCGCGGUAAUUC
rnacentral:rRNA from 1 species